GAAAGCCAAAUACGAAAUAUCAACAUGAGAGUUCAGCCAGGUAUGACUUUAUCACUUUGAUAUUGCGUAUGUCCUGUUGACACGUCACAGCAUGACAACACACACUGAGGCAAGUUGUUUGUUUAGCCAGGGCCUUUCUAACCAUCCCUAUAUGUAUGUUUCCCUUCGUAAACCCCGUUGAGCCUUAGCCAUUUUAUUCAUCAUAGACCCCAUGUUAUCUUUUAAGCAUUAUUUAUCAUAAACCCCCUGUUCAGUUUUAAUCAUUCAUUUUUUUUCAUAACUCGGUAUGAUUGUGUGAAUUGAAAAAUGUGCAAGAAAACUAAGUUUGGGGUGGAAAUGUUGAAAGAGAAGCAAGUGCAUAAUAAGAGAUCAUACAAAAAGAAAAAUAGUAUGUAUUUUAUUUAAAAGAAAAAAAAAAGAGAAAAAAAAGAGAAAAGAAAAACAAAAGAGAAAAAUGCACUUGCCGAGACUUAAGACUCUAACAACAUAUGAAAUGCUCGGAAAAUUCGAGUAGGAAAAGAGUCAAAAGAGUGAAAUUAACCCCCAGAGUAUACGUGAUGCACGAGAAAAAAGAGAAAGAAAAAUCACACAACAUGACUACCGAGUUCAAAACCCUUUGUUAUCCAAUUUUUUUGUUUAUCCCACCGUACCCAAGCCCCGUUACAACCUAAAAAGACCUCAAAAAGUGUGUGGAAUCUGUUGUGGUAGUGACAUUAGAAUGUAUUCAAAGUUAAGAG
rnacentral:lncRNA from 1 species